CGGUNGAUCCUGCNGGACCCGACUGCUAUUUGGGUGAGGAUAAGCCAUGCGAGUCGAAUGGGAUNNCUAANUUCCCCAUGGCGAACUGCUCAAUNACACAUGAUCAACUUACCCUAUAGAGAAAAAUAACCUCGGGAAACUGAGGAUAAUGUUUCAUAGUUGAAAAGGCUUGGAAAAGUUUUUCGACCAAAGGGAUAAGAAAAAUGGUUUUUAUCCGCUAUAGGAUAGGAUCGUGGUCGAUUAUGGUCGUUGGAGAGGUAAUGGCUCACCAAGCCGAUAAUCGAUAGGGGCCGUGAGAGCGGGAGCCCCGAGAUGGGUACUGAGACAGCGACCCAGGCCUUACGAGGCGCAGCAGGCGCGGAACCUCCGCAAUACACGAAAGUGUGACGGGGUUACCCAAAGUGUUCAAUCUUGAACUGUGGUAAGUGAGUAAUGUUCCCUACUAGAAAGGAAAGGGCAAGGCUGGUGCCAGCCGCCGCGGUAAAACCAGCUCUUCAAGUGGUCGGGAUAAUUAUUGGGCUUAAAGUGUCCGUAGCCGGUUUAGUAAGUUCCUGGUAAAAUCGGGUAGCUUAACUAUCUGCAUGCUAGGAAUACUGCUAUACUAGAGGACGGGAGAGGUCUGAGGUACUACAGGGGUAGGGGUGAAAUCUUAUAAUCCUUGUAGGACCACCAGUGGCGAAGGCGUCAGACUGGAACGUGCCUGACGGUGAGGGACGAAAGCCAGGGGAGCAAACCGGAUUAGAUACCCGGGUAGUCCUGGCCGUAAACGAUGCAUACUAGGUGAUGGCAUGGCCAUGAGCCGUGUCAGUGCCGUAGGGAAACCGUUAAGUGUGCCGCCUGGGAAGAACGGUCGCAAGGCUAAAACUUAAAGGAAUUGGCGGGGGAGCAC
rnacentral:rRNA from 1 species